AACGAACGCUGGCGGCAUGCCUAACACAUGCAAGUCGAACGAAGGCUUCGGCCUUAGUGGCGCACGGGUGCGUAACGCGUGGGAAUCUGCCCUUUGGUUCGGAAUAACAGCUGGAAACGGCUGCUAAUACCGGAUGAUGACGAAAGUCCAAAGAUUUAUCGCCAGAGGAUGAGCCCGCGUUGGAUUAGGUAGUUGGUGGGGUAAAGGCCUACCAAGCCGACGAUCCAUAGCUGGUCUGAGAGGAUGAUCAGCCACACUGGACUGAGACACGGCCCAGACUCCUACGGGAGGCAGCAGUGGGGAAUAUUGGACAAUGGGCGCAAGCCUGAUCCAGCAAUGCCGCGUGAGUGAUGAAGGCCCUAGGGUUGUAAAGCUCUUUUACCCGGGAAGAUAAUGACUGUACCGGGAGAAUAAGCCCCGGCUAACUCCGUG
rnacentral:rRNA from 1 species